UACAGAGGUCUCAAGCGUUGUUCGGAUUCAUUGGGCGUAAAGGGUGCGUAGGCGGCGCGGUAAGUCGGGUGUGAAAUCUCGGAGCUUAACUCCGAAACUGCAUUCGAUACUGCCGUGCUUGAGGACUGGAGAGGAGACUGGAAUUACGGUGUAGCGGUGAAAUGCGUAGAUAUCGUAAGGAAGACCGGUGGCGAAGGCGGGUCACUGGGCAGUAACUGACGUGAGGAGCGAAAGCGUGGGGAGCGAACAGG
rnacentral:rRNA from 1 species